rnacentral:rRNA from 1 species
ACUCGAGUGGCGAACGGGUGAGUAACACGUGGGUGAUCUGCCCUUCACUUCGGGAUAAGCCUGGGAAACUGGGUCUAAUACUGGAUAGGACCAUCGUUUAGUGUCGGUGGUGGAAAGUCUUUUCGGUGGAGGAUGAGCUCGCGGCCUAUCAGCUUGUUGGUGGGGUAAUGGCCUACCAAGGCGUCGACGGGUAGCCGGCCUGAGAGGGUGUACGGCCACAUUGGGACUGAGAUACGGCCCAG